GAUAUGACUCGUAUUUUAUCUGAUAUUUUGUUUUAGUUAUCAGAGCACAUGAUGUAUUCUUAUCUCAUAAAGCAUUCAGUGUUUUAUUCUAUUAUUUUUAACCUGGCAUUCUGUACGUAGUGGUAGAUUUUCUUCUUUUAUUUUUUAAGCUGCGAAAUAUGUCAUAGAUUAUUUGUUGUGUAUAACUAUCCACCCUCCAUAUCUCAUCGUAAAGGAUCUGCCUUAGAUUUCUGGAGUGAAAGUUCUUCCUUGCCUAACCUGACAAAAGCAUUUGGCUUUGUUCUAACUGUCCUUCAGCCACGUCAUAAUGAAAUAAAUCUGCAGCAUAUUAUUCCAGGACUACAGCCUGUUACAUAACAAGGCUUUGCAGCGUAGUUUCCACCAUCUAGUCCUAUCUGCAGUUACUAUAACAGGAAAAUCUUGCUCCACUAAUUCAAGCCAUCAAAUUGGUGAUCUUCCUCGCUUUCUGUCUCCAUGAAUUAAAUAGAAGUGAGUAUUUUUACUAGAUUUUUAUUAUCAUAUUGGAUCAAAUGCAUUUUAUUACUUUAACAAAAUCAGGUUACUUGAACUUUUGGUAUUAUUGAACAAGGAUUUAUAACUAUUAUUUUCAUGGACGCUAGAAGAUCGAUAAAUUAUAAAUUAUAUAUGUAAUUUGGUAUUGACUCCCAUGACUGAUUAGUGCGCUUUAUUCUUAUUAGG